rnacentral:rRNA from 1 species
UACGUAGGGUGCAAGCGUUAAUCAGAAUUACUGGGCGUAAAGCGUGCGCAGGCGGUUGUGCAAGACAGAUGUGAAAUCCCCGGGCUCAACCUGGGAACUGCAUUUGUGACUGCACGGCUAGAGUGUGUCAGAGGGGGGUAGAAUUCCACGUGUAGCAGUGAAAUGCGUAGAUAUGUGGAGGAAUACCGAUGGCGAAGGCAGCCCCCUGGGAUAACACUUACGCUCAUGCACGAAAGCGUGGGGAGCAAACAGG